UUUCCGUAGGUGAACCUGCGGAAGGAUCAUUACUGAGUGAGGGUCUCUCGGGGUCCAACCUCCCAUCCGUGUCUAACGAACCUUGUUUUUUCGGCGGGCUCGCCUCACGGCCGCCGGGGGGCACCUUUUCCCGUGUGCGCCCCCGUCGACGCCACAUGUGAACGCUGCCUGAAUUAUACAGCCAGAUUCAAUUAAUAAAUUAAUUAAAACUUUCAACAACGGAUAACUUGGUUUCUGCAACGAUGAAGAACCCAGCCGAUAGGAACAGUACACCUCUGC
rnacentral:misc_RNA from 1 species